AGCAACUCCUUGUUCUGUGACAAGAUAGAGAUGGCCCAGUCUUGUGCAGGUUAUCAUGGCUACUGCCCAUGAACACGCUGACUCUAACAGGCCAGUUCAGCUUCGCCGAGGUUCACUCCUGGGCCGUGCUCUGCCUGCCUGAAGUGCCGGAAAAGCCUCCAGCGGGGGAAUGUGCAACUUUCUACUUUCAGAAUACCUUUCUGGACACACAGCUGGAGUGUGCAUACAGAAAAGGAGAAGGAAUCUUUAAAUCUGACAACAUCUCUACAAUAUCCAUCCUAAAAGAUGUGCUUUCUAAAGAAGCUACAAAAAGGAAAAUUAAUCUCAACAUAUCAUACGGUAAAAAAAUGAAAAUUGCCCAUUCCAAUUUUUUAGUUAUAAUAGCAAAAUUUUUCGUGUAAAUGACUUACUGUGCCUGACCAAUUUCCUCUAGAGAUAAAUGAAGUGUCAGUCAAGCAUACUUUAAAGCUAAUUCACCCAAAGUUGGAGUACCAGUUGCUUCUGGCUAAGAAAGUACAGUUAAUUGAUGCCUUGAAGGUAAGGAUUUGUGUCAGUGGGAUCAUGAACAUGACUGUUAGCUCCAGGCUUUCUAAGU
rnacentral:lncRNA from 1 species